GUAUUUUAGUCUUUUCAGGGGAAUUUGUUAAUUAAUCGAUAAUCCUCGUUUAAUCUUACUUAUUUUUUUUUUGUAAUCGCUGUUUUUGAAAAUAUUUUUAGAAUAUUUUUCUUGAUUAAAUAAUUAUUUUAAUAUUUUCAAGUCAAGGUGGCAGUUUUUUUAUAAGUUUAAUUAAUGAAUUACCAAUAAAAAAUAAUUUUAUUUAUGGAUAAUUUAUUUUAAAAUUUAAUUUUAAAGGUGGGACUUUGAAGGUAAUUUUUAUGUAGAUUAUUAAAAUGGAUUUUUUGAGCUCCUAA
rnacentral:rRNA from 1 species